CAGGGAAUAUUGCGCAAUGGACGGAAGUCUGACGCAGCGACGCCGCGUGGAUGAUGAAGGCCUUCGGGUUGUAAAAUCCUUUUCAGGGGGAAGAGCGAGGACGGUACCCCUGGAAUAAGCGUCGGCUAACUACGUGCCAGCAGCCGCGGUAAGACGUAGGACGCGAGCGUUAUCCGGAUUUACUGGGCGUAAAGCGUCUGUAGGCGGAAGUGUAAGUUGGACGUGAAAGCUCCGGGCUCAACUCGGAGAGGCCGUUCAAUACUGCACAACUAGAGGCCAUCAGAGGGGCGUGGAAUUUCCGGUGUAGCGGUAAAAUGCGCAGAUAUCGGAAGGAACACCAGUGGCGAAGGCGGCGCCCUGGGGUGGGCCUGACGCUAAGAGACGAAAGCUAGGGGAGCGAACAG
rnacentral:rRNA from 1 species